CGGAACGUGCCCAGUAGCGGGGGAUAACUACGCGAAAGCGUAGCUAAUACCGCAUACGCCCUACGGGGGAAAGGGGGGGAUCGUAAGACCUCUCACUAUUGGAGCGGCCGAUAUCGGAUUAGCUAGUUGGUGAGGUAAAGGCUCACCAAGGCGACGAUCCGUAGCUGGUUUGAGAGGACGACCAGCCACACUGGGACUGAGACACGGCCCAGACUCCUACGGGAGGCAGCAGUGGGGAAUUUUGGACAAUGGGGGAAACCCUGAUCCAGCCAUUCCGCGUGUGCGAUGAAGGCCUUCGGGUUGUAAAGCACUUUUGGCGGGAAAGAAAUCGGUCGGGCUAAUACCCUGACCGGAUGACGGUACCCGCAGAAUAAGCACCGGCUAACUACGUGCCAGCAGCCGCGGUAAUACGUAGGGUGCAAGCGUUAAUCGGAAUUACUGGACGUAAAGCGUGCGCAGGCGGUUCGGAAAGAAAGAUGUGAAAUCCCAGGGCUCAACCUUGGAACUGCAUUUUUAACUACCGGGCUAGAGUGUGUCAGAGGGAGGUGGAAUUCCGCGU
rnacentral:rRNA from 1 species